UGGGGUGCAGCUUAGUGUUAAAGCACUUGCCUAGUAAGCGAGAAGGCCUGGGUUCCAUCUCCAGUGCUGCAA
rnacentral:tRNA from 1 species